GUAUAGAAUUGAAAUUUUUGUGGAAGAAAACAAAACAAAUAGCAUCGUGUGACCGACACUUCUGCACCAAAAAGCUGCAUUAACUAUGUUUUAUUGGACAACAGGGCGAUUCGUGAAAAUAAUGGUGUUACCAGCAACACCGACCAUCGCCCGCCGGUGGUGUUACCGAAUGAUUUACCACCGCCUCACCGGGUGCUGGAGGGCGACAAACUAGUUGCAGAGUAUGGUAAUGUUCUCAUUUUGUGGAAUUAUUUGAAGAUUCAAUAUAUAUGAUGAAUACAGAACCGUUAUUUACGA